rnacentral:lncRNA from 8 species
GUGUUUACAUAUGGGACUACACGAAACACGCCCCCUAUUUCUUCUCACGCCCACAAAGGGAGGUGCGGGGAAACUGUAUUUAUAUAAACCACACCCCAACUUUGAAUGAGCAACAUGUACCUGAGGACUGUGCAGAACGAAAGCUCGGGUUGACGCUGUCCUUGUCCAUUUAAUUUAGAAACGGUGUUGUGUCCAGUAGUCAGAUAGUCAAUUUCAGAUAGAGUUGUGUCACAUGUUAAAUGUAAAGUCAAUGCAUUUGCAACCUUUUAUUAUGCUGAACGGCAAAAGUGCCAUUUCCAGAACGGCAGAAGUUGAGAGAGGAAAGUGGAGUCAUUUUUGAGACAGCAUAGCGAGAAGGAAGUUAUUUUCCGAGGUAGUGCCGCAGAAUGAACUUUAACAUUUUUUUAAAGUAUUCAUCAUGUCCAACACGUAUGUUGUUCCUUUGUACCAGUUAUGUAUGUAUGCCUGUAUAUAUGUAUUUAUGUAUGUACCAAGAUGGCUUAUAAAUUGUUGGCUGCACUGCAAGUGACAAAUUAACACAGUCAGAGCCUAUGUAGGCCUACAAACAGUAUACCGGUAGAUUGCUGACCAACACACAAUUUCAAUCUUGUUCAAACUAGAUAUAGUUUGUAGAUCUAUAGAUCUAUAGAUAUAUAUAUACAUCCACACUAUAUCAUUUAAAUUGUCUAAUUGUAGGCCCAUAGGCCUAUGACGUAGAAGUACUGUCAACAAAAGUUGUUGUAUUUUCCAGCACAUGCAAAGACAGUGAACUAAACUUGUGUUUGGUGUGUGAAUACAGGUGACCUUGGAGCAUUCAUCAAAGACACCUGAUGAAGCCCUACCCAUCGGAUAAGAGCCAGUCUGCUACUGAAAUGUGAAGAGUCCUGAAGCUACAAGUGUCUGGCCGAAUGUUUUAAAGGUGUUUGAAACUUGGCUUCCCUGACGACGAGAGAGGGAGUUUUAAGUGAGGCGAUGGGAGAUUGUGGAUCUCUGAGAAGGAGGAGGUGAUAUCAGAGAAGACCAGCUGGCUCGAUGGUUAACAUCUCAUCAGAACUACACGGCAUCCUCCCUUCUCCACAAGAGCCUACCAGAUUCAUCACCUGGCAUUGAGGGUAAUGAGCGAGGCGUGGAGGUGAACACAUUAAACCAAGCCGACUUUGCCCAGCCAGGAGGGAGGACAGAGACGGUACAGGAACAGAGGGGCAGCGACCAGGACCAAACCAAACCCCCUCCACAUCCCUUCCAACUCCUCCAUGGUGGCCCCACACCUGUCCAACACUGGGAGGCGAUUUUACACAACAACAACAACACUAGAACAGGUAAAGAGGACAACCAUACUUAUUCGCUAUCACACACACACGCUCACACACACACUCUGACAGUCCUUGCUAGCUGUGAUGCGCCGAAAGGC